rnacentral:rRNA from 1 species
GACGAACGCUGGCGGCGUGCCUAAAACAUGCAAGUCGAAAGCAGUGGGGACGGGUGAGUAACACGUGGGUAACCUGCCCAUCAGAGGGUAGAACACUUGGAAAAAGGUGCUAAACUGUUACUGAUGGAUGGACCCGCGGUGCAUUAGCUAGUGGGUGGGGUAACGGCUCAACAAGGCCACGAUGCAUAGCUGACCUGAGAGGGUGAUCGGCCACACUGGGACUGAGACACGGCCCAGACUCCUACGGGAGGCAGCAGUAGGGAAUCUUCGGCAAUGGACGAAAGUCUGACCGAGCAACGCCGCGUGAGUGAAGAAGGUUUUCGGAUCGUAAAACUCUGUUGUUAGGGAAGCGUUAUCUAACCAGAAAGCCACGGCUAACUACGUGCCAGCAGCCGCGGUAAUAC